rnacentral:rRNA from 1 species
CGGGCCUUGUACACACCGCCCGUCACACCAUGGGAGUGGGUUGUACCAGAAGUAGAUAGCUUAACCU